UCAUUUUGCACAGAUCAGCUGAGUAUGAAAGUUAAAGGAUGCUGUGUGAUCAAGACUGGCCUUUGGGGAAUGAAGAAAUACUGAUGUAAAACAAGUAUGCAAGAAGAGUCAAGCCUUUUGAUUUACUGCAUUCAGCUCCUGAAGACUGCCAUAUACCAUGGAAACCCACACCCAGUUCCAUGCCUACUUACACCCUUUUUCCAUCAAAGCAAUAUAUUUGGUUUUAAAAAAGAGGCGUUUCUAAUUGACAGGAUUGGAAGUGACAUCAUUACUUGCGUUAGUAUGACUCAGAAACUGAAAAAUAUGUCCAGAAUUUCCUCUCCAUUUUUUUUGUGUUUCGAUUAACAAAGCAGGUUUUAUGCCUUUUUAUCUUUUUUUCCCUCAGACCAUUUUAUUGUGGUAAGAUACAGAACUGGAGUUUAUCAAGCUAAAAAUCUUAAUGCUUUCCUUUACUAAGUAAAGGUGGAUUUAAGCAGGAAGGAGAGCAGGAAGGAAAGCAGGAAGGAAGGAAGGAAGGAAGGGAGUUAUCUCUAGCAGCUCAGUUGCCACUCGAUGAUAAUCUGAGGAAGCAGAGAAGAAUUAGAUUACAUAAUUAGACUAAUUAUAAUUCUAUAGAAAUUGUCACAAUUAUCAGCAGAAUGCUUAGAACUGACAUUACGUGACAGCUAGAAAACAGCAAGUGCUCGCAUGACUUAAAUGAAUUCUUUGCACUUGCAUAGCGUAGGCUGCCUUUUCUCCUCCAGAGACAAUAUCUGAUAUUUAUCUGUCCCUUUUCAGUAUCUUAAAUGCUGUUUAACUGUUUCUUUUAGCGUAGUGAACUGUCUCUUCAUUUAGCUGUACUGCUGUACUACUUUUCUUCUUUGAAGAACAGAAUAAAGAAUUUAUCAGGGAAAGUAGUUAAAUUCCAGGCCAAAUUCACCAUUAUUAAAUAUGAGGAUAUGUUUUCUGAAUUCUGCUGACUGAUUCACAUCAAAUUGACAGGCAGAUAUUUUUUUAAAAUGCUUUGUCACUGAGAUAAUAAUUCAUUUGUCCUCCCCUUAGCUGUCAAAAUAAGGUGUGGAAGUUAAUCUAAUUGUCUCAGAUUACCUUAGUCAGUGGAAAUGAAAAAGGCAAAAUUUUAUCAGUUGUUUGAUACAAAAUGGUGUGCUUUACAAAUAUAACACAUUUAAGUAACUGAAAAUUACUGCAUUGGAACCUGGCAACUUGUUGAAGUAAAACAAGAGAAAUUACUGGCUACUUCUUGACAAGCUGAAACGGAUAGCCAUUCUCUACAAGCCUUCAAAGGAAAAAACUGUUUCAUUGCUUGUGUGAGUAAAUGUGUGUUCAUGUGUAUAGAAAAGGCUGAUUUUCACUGAGGUGUUUACUUAUAGUUGGUGUUAAUGAAAUGCAAGAAAAUUGCAAAACUUCUCAUAUCUAGAGUUCAAAAAUCACGGUGCUAUUUUUAUACUUUCCCUUGAAUAUAUCUUCAGAUACAGCAUCAUCUUCAACCAUCAUCAUUUUAUGAUCUUACUGAUUAUAUCUAAAGCAAUCCCUCUAUCUAAUAUUGAUUUGUGAAGAAAGGGUAACUGUCUAUCAGUGGGCAAAAAGCUUUCAAUUUUAAUGAUAAAACUGUAGGCAAUAUUUAAUCAGAUUUGGUGUACUUGGGCCCAGUAUUCUAAAUGUCUUUAUUAAAACACAUUUUUUAAA